rnacentral:rRNA from 1 species
AUUGAACGCUGGCGGCAGGCCUAACACAUGCAAGUCGAGCGGAUGACGGGAGCUUGCUCCUUGAUUCAGCGGCGGACGGGUGAGUAAUGCCUAGGAAUCUGCCUGGUAGUGGGGGACAACGUUUCGAAAGGAACGCUAAUACCGCAUACGUCCUACGGGAGAAAGCAGGGGACCUUCGGGCCUUGCGCUAUCAGAUGAGCCUAGGUCGGAUUAGCUAGUUGGCGGGGUAAUGGCUCACCAAGGCGACGAUCCGUAACUGGUCUGAGAGGAUGAUCAGUCACACUGGAACUGAGACACGGUCCAGACUCCUACGGGAGGCAGCAGUGGGGAAUAUUGGACAAUGGGCGAAAGCCUGAUCCAGCCAUGCCUCGUGUGUGAAGAAGGUCUUCGGAUUGUAAAGCACUUUAAGUUGGGAGGAAGGGCAGUAAGUUAAUAACUUGCUGUUUUGACGUUACCGACAGAAUAAGCACCGGCUAACUCUGUGCCAGCAGCCGCCGCUGUAA